GUCGCAAUGGUGUAGUCGGUUAUCACAUCUGUCUCACACACAGGAGGUCCCCAGUUCGAACCUGGGUUGCGACA